AUUGAACGCUGGCGGCAGGCCUAACACAUGCAAGUCGAGCGGUAACAUUUCUAGCUUGCUAGAAGAUAACGAGCGGCGGACGGGUGAGUAACGCGUAGAAAUCUACCUAGUAGUGGGGGAUAGCCCAGAGAAAUUUGGAUUAAUACCGCAUACGCCCUACGGGGAAAGCGGGGGAUCUUCGGACCUCGUGCUAUUAGAUGAGUCUGCGUCGGAUUAGCUUGUUGGUGAGGUAAUGGCUCACCAAGGCGACGAUCCGUAGCUGGUCUGAGAGGAUGACCAGCCACACUGGAACUGAGACACGGUCCAGACUCCUACGGGAGGCAGCAGUGGGGAAUAUUGCACAAUGGGCGCAAGCCUGAUGCAGCCAUGCCGCGUGUGUGAAGAAGGCCUUAGGGUUGUAAAGCACUUUUGGCGGGGACGAUAAUGACGGUACCCGCAGAAUAAGCCCCGGCUAACUUCGUG
rnacentral:rRNA from 1 species